rnacentral:rRNA from 1 species
UACGAAGGGGGCUAGCGUUGCUCGGAAUGACUGGGCGUAAAGGGCGCGUAGGCGGAUGUUUAAGUCUGGGGUGAAAGCCCAGGGCUCAACCCUGGAAUUGCCUUCGAUACUGGACAUCUUGAGUACGGGAGAGGUGAGUGGAACUCCGAGUGUAGAGGUGAAAUUCGUAGAUAUUCGGAAGAACACCAGUGGCGAAGGCGACUCACUGGCCCGUUACUGACGCUGAUGCGCGAAAGCGUGGGGAGCAAACAGG